UUUCUCUUUGGGAACUCAGUGCUUAUGCUGAAGCUGAGGCUUUCCUGGAGGGGUCUGGCUGAAUACUGAUAUCCAACUUCCUAUAGAAAAAACCCUAACUUCAUUGUUCAGAGACAUUGUUCAUUUCUCUUCCUUCAAGAAACACCAAUGACAGAGACCUUACAUCUGCUGGUGUUCUGCAGAACUGAUGAUUUGGGAUAAUGCUCGGAAAGGCAUGGAAGGGAGUCUUGCUCAUGGCCGUGACAGUGGUGGAGGCUGCACAACUGCCACGCAGAGGCUGGUGUUGAUUUUCCUACUUUGAAUAAAAUGUAAGGGAAUUCCAGUAAGUAUUUCUUUCAAGUAUUUCAAAUGGAUGAAUUAUUGUUCUGCGCUCAUUUAAUAACAAGCUGUUCCUUUUGAAUGCCUUCUUUAAAAGUAUUUUUCUUUUGAACUCCAUGAGAGGUGCACUCAAAUCAAUGUCUAUUAUUCUCUCCAUUUUCUAAUGUUCUUUCAAGUAUAUAUAUAUUUUCUGAGAGAAAGAUUAAAACCCAUUCCUGAUAUUUGCCUUUACCCAUUCAGACUCCAUUCCGCUCUGACGUUUCCUGAGUUCAGAAGCUAAUCACAAAGUAAUCAUCUUUCUGUUAAUGCGAAGAGGUGAAAGCUGCCUUUUGUCAUUGGUGGAAAUGUUCAUCUGUAUAACAUAAAUAAUGUUAUUAACUGCUUAAUUUGAAUUUCAGAUUUCUGUAAUUUGAAAUGAAUGUAUUUUCAGAUUUCCCUAUGUAGUUCCCAUUGCUCUCUUUAACGUACAUGAUUUCAGGUACCCUGGUUCUGAGCCCUUGCACAUACCCUUGUAAACAUAUAACAUUUUUGAUGUGUGGGUGAGAAUCUGUGGUGACGUAACAUGCUUUUUUUACAUCUUGUCUAUGUGCACGAGUCUGUUUAAAGUAGGAGGAAAAUGAAAAAUAUUAAUGGGGUCACUUAAAGAAUUCAAGUUUCUAUUUGUUAAAAAAUACAAAAAGGAAGUCAGAUAAUGCACUAAACUGGACCAGAACUUUGCAGGCUGAACUGCACUCUACUGCACCAUUCCUAUCUGCAACUUAAGCUGCGUCCAGCAUGAACUUGAAAAUGGAAACGGAUCAGCUUCCACAGAAUUUGGACUGGGAAAACUAUUUUGUUGAGGUUUCCGGUUCAAAUUGCUUCAAAAAUUUCUUGUUUCACAUCUUCCUUUGUUUCAAAUGGAAGUAAUAAACCCAUCCUUUUGCCUGUGAUUCCUGAACUCUCCUCAUAAAUGUAUAUUAUGAAUGUUUCUUUUUAGACAUGGAAAGCUACAAAUAAUAAUAUUUGCAAUUAUGAGUAGUACUUCAGAAUUAAAGAUGAAAGCACUUGUAGAAGCAGUUAAUUCAUUAUUCAAAAAGUUGUCAGUAGGCUCUAUUAAUAUUGCCUGAGAUAUUUUUUUUCUGUGGAGAUCCCAAAAACUUGUGCUGCUAGCUCACACCAGAGCCAUCAAGAGCUGUUCAGAUCAGUGAUUCUUGUUGCAAGAGAGAAAGUUAAUGCAAAAGGUAAAAAGAAAUAAGGUCAGUCAGUCCAACUACUUAAAUUCCUGCUUUGUUCCCUUGAAAACUAGUCCAGACACUUAAAUUCCAGUCUGUAUUACUAGAAAGAUCUCUGGUAAUUCAUAUUAAAUAUAACUGCAGUGUUUCCAUAGAGAUGAUGUUUAGCAUAAAAAUAGCUGAAACAUUUUGACAUUGAUUCUGAGGCUACAGUUCAUAACAUCUUAUUUUACUACUGCUACCCUCAGCAAUGCUGAAGUAUAGAAAUAAAUCCUUCUUUUCAAAUGGUGUAACAAAAUGUGUAAAGGUAAGAAAAAUUAGCAAAAUAAUAACUGACUCGCUUGUCUGUAAAUGGCUGUAUGCAACUUAGCUUCUUACAGCAGAGGUAUGUUAAAAUGAAAAUUUUAAAGAAAAUUUCCACAAAUUAUAGGUCUGUGGGGUCGGACAAGGGGAGAGAAAAUGUUAGUUAAUAAAGACAUUUGAGUUUUGUGGAAGAAGCGAGAAACAUUGAUUUCGGUUGGUUUGCAUUAUUGGCACUGACUGCAGGAAUAUUUUCAGUAUAGCUUAAGGUGUUUCUAGAGGUGAAACAAAAUUAUCUCCCUGAACAGUCUAGUGAGCAGACGAUGAGAACAGAGAGAUUUUUUGGGCUUCAUCCUAAAAAAGGAGCCAAAUCUGAUGAACGGAGGUGAAACUGAAGAUUCAGUGAUUAUAAUAUCAUUACACAGGAAAUUUAGUUUGGGCUAUUUGCAUUUCAUGGUAGAUUUUCAGUAAGGUAGAGUUGGAAUGGCAAGCAGAAGGAAAUCCAUAGAGUUAAAAUUAUGGGAUAAAGAAUGUCUCUCAGUCAGUAAGGGAUGAAAUGAACCCUGCAGCAUGGUGAUGCCAUCAAAAGGUAUAACCAGGAUACAAGGGGCUGUGGUCAGAUAGGCUCUUCUAGACUUUUGUAUUUAGCAGCUCAGGGCUUGGGGUAGAUCUGCUCUGCACACAGUUGCAGGUGCAUUUCAAUGACAAGAAACAUUUAAAUGGAUUCAACUGUGAUUAAAUAAGGAAUGAAAAAAGUUAGUGGGGAAGGAGGGAAGAGGAGACAGUUGUUCAUAUAUGCAGAUGGCCAACCUGAGUUCAUGGAUCGGCCACUUGAGUACAAGACCAGGAAUGGAGAAAUGCUGAAUUACUGAUGGAAGUACUUUACCAUAAUUUUUGCACACAAUCCAUCAUUUGUAUGCAUUUGAAAAGCCUGGGUGAAAUUUAACAACACAUACUUUGUUGAACCAUGCAUAGUUUCAAUCAGUUUCGUACAUGUACAAAUCAGGUGGGAAAUAGUUUAUACAGUUUGGGGUUGCUAUACUGCGCUGCAUCUCCAGUUGACUGUACCAAAGAGCUGUUUAAUUUGCUUGCAUUAAAUAACAUAUGUUCUCUCUUUGUGCCAAACACUAUACCAAACAUUUGCAUACUGCUGUCAAUAAUAUAUCCUUUAGGACUAAUGCCACGUGAUUUAAAUACCCACUCUCUGAAGCUCUUCUCGGUUUCUGCAAAGUGUAUUGCACAGAGACAGCUUAAGCCCAGUAACAAAUUGACUUUUCUUCCUUUUGAGUGCCGAAGUACCUCCAUAACUCAGGCUGUCAAAAAUGUACGUGGGUAUGUCAGCAAUAUACCACUGUUACUUAGAUGUGUUGGUUUUUUUUCAUUAUUUGCUUCACUUUCAAAAUGCCACUGUAUUCAAACUGAAACUCUUUCCUAAGGAAACAAAUGCACUUCCUUUUUAACUAUGUAUCCUGACUCAAGCUAAUAUCCUGCUGUGCACAACUCCCAAAACUUAAAAUUAAAUGGUUUUGGCUUCAGGACAGGAAGACAGUCAAGCCAUUAGUGGACUGUGCAGCUCAUUAAGGCACUUGACUUUCAUUCCCAAUGAGUGCCCAUGACCAGUGAAUUUCUGCAUCUGUGAAAUGGAUGCAGCCAUCUCCAAGGAACUCAUCAAGGGGGUGCAAAAAAUGUUAUGGGAUCCCUUGUUAGGAACGCUUCAACUCCAGUUUGUCCCAGCUCCAUUUCACUGAAGAAAGCAGGAGAGGUAAGCUUGUCUGGGGACCAGUGGGAAAUCCAGUUAGAAAAAGCAGGAGUUGGGUGAGCACCUCCCUUGAGUUGCUCCUAGGGACUGAAAUUCUAGGCGUGUGCUGACAAAAGACCUCAAAUACCUGUUUGACCAUAUGUUGUCCUCCUUAAAAGAGUUGUUUCUUACUAAAAAUAAUAAAAUACAUUUCAAAUAGAUAUUUUAAACAACUAUAAAUUCUAGUUUACAUGUUUUUGGUUUUUUUUAUGUUCUCUGCAAUGAUUUUGCUUAGUCUUCUGCACCUGACAUAUGCAUGCUUCUCAUGGCCUGUUAGAUAUUGUCUUAAAAAAUCAUCUCAUUAUUUUGCCUUUUGAGUGGCCAGAUUCUCACAGGGAGCUUAUUUCAUGUAAUGUGGAAGUUGUUGAGUGACUGUGCACAACUUCCACUGGAAGUCAGGUCUAAUCAAAAUAUAAUUAUUCUAAAUUGUCAAGAGGCUUCAGAAACAAUAGAAUCAACAUAGAGGCGGAAACCAACUGACUCAAUUUCAGACAUGAUCCUUGUGUCCUCUGUGGGAUUUUGGCCAUUUCAAAUUUAAUUCUCCCAAGGCUGUGGUGGGUAAGCAAGGGUUGGGGUCAGGUGGUGCUUGAAGCAAUUUGACAGCCUGGUCUGGUGCACUGCUAAGCAUUGCUGGGAUCCUGACUUAUUGCCAGGAUUGGUCAUUAUUGUAGCAGAGAUGCUGAUCUAGAAGACAGUGUAGUUCAGGUUGCUUUUUUGGCAAACCCUGCAAUUAAACACUGGAAGAAGCAAGAGACAACCUGGAGGAGAGAGGAUAUGCAUAUAGCAGGAGAUUUGCUUUAAGAAAAACAAUAAAAUUUCUCUGACAGGGAGAAAUUAUGGUCCCAGGUUAACAUCACAAGGAAAAUACAAUUAAAUGCAUCUUCCCAAUUGUUGAAGAGUUGGAUGAAGAAACAGAAUCGGUCACUCAGUGUUGGUGCUUACCUGAAUCCGAAGAAUCUUUGCUCAAUUUUAGCAUGAGAUGCUGGAUGAGGUGGAAGCAGAUCCAGGAAGUAUGAUUUAUUUGUACUAAAAAUAUGUGUUAUUUGACUUUUUUUGGUGGUAAGUUUUAGGUUUAAGCAAUACAGUACAAACUGUAGACACCUUGAAGUGUGGAGUUCUUAGGCAAAAAGUCUGAAAAACCUACUAGAUAAGGCUGAAAGCAAUGGUUUGCUGACUCUGUUUGGGCUCCAUGAAUUCAGCUUUUCCGGAAUUGAGGUGUGUGCUGGUUUCUAGUGAUCCUUGGUUAUCUGCAGCAACAAACAAAGCAAUUGUGAGAGGUUCAGCUGUGGAAAGCAUCAGAGCUGCAGGGUUUGAGGUGCUGGGGCUGUGGGUUUCCCCUCUAGUCAAGGAUUUCAAGAGAAAGCAAGAGAUCCAAGCAGUAAAGUUAGGGAAAAUUAUUCUUAAGUUUUUUUUUUCUAUUAACCUCAAAGAUUGCAAUGUGAUCAUGAACUGCUUUCAACUGAGCAAUAAGAAGCACUGUACCUAGAGAUGCACAGCCAUUUUUUCUCUUUUCUUUAUUAUUUUUGCUUAUGGUAAUGCAGUUACAGACAUCCAGAGCUCUUUUGAGAUAAUGCAGAGGAAACCCUGUAGGUACAGUGACAGAAAUGGCAAUUAUAGCAACACCGGAGCAGAGAUGUCUCCAUCAAUCACAUCAUGCUCAGGUGUUGGGAGAUUCAGAUUUGGAAAAGGUGCCCCAAGGGAGGGAGCCUCAGAAAGAAAAGCAGUGCUUGAAUGGGGCCGUGAGGAUCAAAUGUCUUUGCUACGUUAUUAAUAUCUGUGCUGGCAGAUGUAGGGAAAAAGCCUGGCACGUGGGAUAUGGAGCAAAUUAUGUACGAUGUGGUGCGAGAAAGGUGUGAGCCUUCAUGGGAUGAAAUAAAUGAAUUCAGAGAGUAUUUCUUAGGCUGGAGAAGGAAGUGAGACUCUGAAGGAAGUUCUGAGGAGCUCAUGUGAAUGGAGUUCUUCAAAACAUUGGGAGAUUUGUUAAUGAAAUGGGGAAAUAUCCAUAAAUUCUCCAGUUGGCCUAAGUGACAUACAUAGGACAAACAAACAAAUUUCUGUUAUAACUAGAUUGUGGAAUUACUUUCAAGAACAUUUAGUCCAUAAACCUGAUUUUGCAAUGACUACGGUAACUCUGUUAGCAGGCAGCUCCCUCCUGUUAGUGCAAGCAGCUCUGAGGGAUUGUGCCUUCCAGAAUAAGGAUAAUAACAAGACACACUGUCUUUAAUCUUAUGUUUUGAAGUGUCUUUUUUAUUAACAAAUUGCCAUCGCUUGUUUUUAAAGCGGCAGUCAGCAAUGAUGAAUCUCACAAGCCCAGGGCUAUCGUUAAAGCAGAGACAGUGACCUUCUUCUUACUUCAUUUGCAGGUUCAGCCACUGCAGACUCCCUUGGGAUGGAAGAUUGUUUCCAUGCCAGUCUUGGGAAGCUUUACAGCUCCUGGUAUCAAGGGAGAAUGUAGGCGGAGCAGUAUGCAUCUGAGCUUCAGGGAGAGCUAAGAAUACAGCAUACCCAUUCACCAUGGAUCCUGAUUUAUUCUUUCCUGGAGGAAAGUUCUCAGUUCAACAGAAACGGCUGUCAAGGCAUUUGCAGACUUUCCUGCUUUGCACAGAAAUUAAUGCAGCUGUUCCUGACUGAGCUGAAGAUGACCACUUCCAGAGAAGCCCUAUCCAUGCCCAUCCAAAAGUCCCCAUCUCCAUGUGAGCAAACAGCUGCAGGUGUUUUUUAAGCAUCUGAAGUACAACUGCUGUUGUGCAAAUGGUAAGCACAGUUUUUGUCCUGGCACCCCCCGUGAUUGCAGCAAGACUCUUAACCUAUUUCCAUAUUGCAAUGUGCUGCUUCAGACUGUGAGACAUAAAUAUGUUCCCAGCACAGAUCUCCUUCCUUCUUUCCAGGCAGGAGUGGUUUAGGAUCCAGCUAGAACAUGAAACGUAAGAAACAAAGCUGUUACAAUGAGAGAUUAUUCAAGUGUUGUUGGAGAUGAGAGAAUGGAAUUAAAGAUUUCAAGAUGAUCAUUUGUGCUAUGCCAUGAUAAUAAAUUAUUUGUGCACCUUCUUAAAUCAUUAUAUCCUACCUGUCUUAUGUAUUAGAAAUCUUAGGUGGGAAGGCAGCAAAAUCUCAGUAUUUAGGAUGAAGUUAAUGAGCUGGACUACUGUUAUACCAAGAAAAGAAUUCUCAGUAGAUGACAAAUUAUUAGUACUAGAGAGCGGGUCCUUUUCAUAAUUAUUUUUCUUUGCACAAUACAGGAGAGUCUAGAGGUUCAUAAUAGAUUUUUAUAACAAUAAAGGGAAAAUUUAAAUCCUUACCAGUAAUCAAGUGAUACUGCUCUACGGUAAUGUGAUAAAUGAGGUCUGAAAGGAGAGCUAUCAUUCUGAGCCAGCGGUCCCAUGAAAGAUUAAAAUAGCUUAGAUAGAAAGCAUCAGAAAGUCAUGACUGUGGAUGAAUGAAAAGGGAUGAAUACAAGUUACCUGCUAAAUGAAAAGGGAGAAAUAGGAAACAGGAUAAAUGGCAAAGAAGGAAAAGGAAAGUGCUAAGAGUUGUGAAGGAUGCUGGAGCUGUUGUACCAGCCUUAACUUGUGAUGGAAAUGGAAACGAGAUCACAUGGCAGUUGGUUUUAAUAGCAGUGGUUGGCCCAGUGCUUGCAACUCUUUUUGCUUUCUAUCAAAAUAUGAUUUCCUAGUGUGCUGUAUUGCAAAGAGUAAUUGCUGAAAUGCAACGAGAGUGAGCCUGGAAUUGAAUGUGUGAUUCAGCAGGUUUGAAAGUCUGAAUUAUUUCUAGGAGGGGCUAUGUCAGAAGGUCUGCACAAUCAGGUUGAGCUUAGAGACCACUAAGGCAAGAGCAUCAACUUGUGAAAUAGUGUUCCUUGCUCAACUACGGAAUUUCAUUUUUAAAGUUUGCCAGUGCAUUGAAUGCAAAACUGAUAUUUAUGGCUAUAUACUAUUUUCACUUAAUAUUCCUUCCUGUUUCCUGCUUUUCCAUCUCAAUUACUCUACCAUUAGGGAAAUGAGCAGUGGUAUGGUAGCAGAAGCGCUUGUCUCUCCUGGGCUUGAAGCAUCACCAUGGAGCUGCUGGGUGCUCACAAUGUGGGAUUGUCCACCAUAGCAGCAGGCAUGGAUGUAUCUGGCCUGUCAGCCCAGGGAGACACCUCUCUGCUCUCGGGAUGGGUGCACCAGGAGGGUAUUUCAGCAGGAUGGCAGUGCAGUUAGGUGGCUGGAGUCUGUCCUUAAAGUUUCUGCUCUGAUGGAUGCUGAGCUUAGAGAGGGAUUGAGCUGUUUGGAUAUACACAGUUCUGGCUCCUUUGCUUUUUUUUUUUUUUUUUUUUUUAACCCAAAUGGGUAAAAUUUUGGUGCCUCUUACAGGACUGAGGUAGCCAGUGUUCAUACACUGUCCAGGCAUACCUUUGAACAGGGGCUGUGAAGCAGGACUUGAAGCUCGCUCUUUUAGUCCCAUUCAGAAUCUGUCUAUUCCUCUCAGUUCUGUGUCAGUCGCUUGCAUUCAAUUUGUGCCUCAAAGACAGAAUUGCUGUGUGAAGGGCUGGAGAGCCUGGCUAGACAGUCAUAUGCGUCUGUGACUAAGCUGCAUGCGAAGAACUGAAAUAAAUGAUUUUUUAAUUUGAUGUUCUUCCUGUUUGAAUCCUGAGAAUCAUUUUCCUCUUUAUUCACCGGUGAGCUUUUUUCUUUCCUUUCAGAGACCAAAUGAAUAAAGAGCUAUGGCAAAUACUGAAGGUUUAGAAUUCAGAAGGUGGCUCAUAAAAGUAUCUCUCUGAGUUUAUAAAUCAUAUUGUCCGUGUGAAAGAUUUUGGUCUAAUGACUUGAAACAAAUGGAAGUCUGAGGUGUUUUUCAAGGAGUGUUCGUUUCUCUGUGAACAACAAAAUAGCUGAACAAAGUACCGCUGCUUUCGGCAGCAGUUAAAUACACUGAAAGGAGAACAAUUGAUUGAGAACCCCAUAUGUAUCGGUGCCCUCCUUCAGAUCAAUAAAGGAACUGCUGAAGAUGUCAUUAUUAACUUCAAGUGGGUAUACUGCUGUUCCAGAAAAGGUGGUUUAUGCAGAUUGAAUUAUUUCUGUGAUGCUCUUUUCUUCCAAUUGAUUUAGCCAGCUCCUCUGUACAUUCCCAUCAUUCAUCGGAAUGGGUGGCAGCACCCAGCAGCUCCAGCUGGAGAAGAGGCAAAACCAUCAUGGCUGUGGUGUCUGCACGUGUGACCACUGCCCAUGUGAGCCCUGAGUAACGCCCCAGCGUGACAGACAGCUGCAAGUAUUUGUGAAUGUGUUUAACAUGGGAUCUAUCUCAGUGAUAAUUUUUCUGCCUGGGAAACUCAUACGAUGUUGGGGGAAAAAAAUGCUUUUGGCAAUAACUGUAAGAUGAUGGUGUUGGGGAUAAAGCUAUUUGCAGUUGCACAGUGUCAUGAUUCCUAGUCACACAGAUUUUGUUUCAUACAGCAAAGUGUAAGUAAAAUCAACAGUCCUGAUUUUUGCAGCCACCUAUGUGUUAGGAAUUGAGAGCUGUUGCAAAUCGGGCGUUUUAACAUUCCCUGAUCCAUACUCACUCUUCUGCGAGUGCACCUUUCCUCCUGCAUUCAUAGAAUUGUUUGAGUGGGAAGAGACCCUUAAAAGCCAUCAGUUCCACUUCUUGUAAUGCACAGGGACACACACAGCUCCACCAGUGCUGAGAGCCCAUCUGUAGGGCAGAUAACUGUGGGCAUCUGCAGGAAUAGGGCACCCAGCCCUCUGGAGAACUGUGCCAAUGCUUCACUACUCCUAUAGUAAUAAUCUUUUCCCCCAUACAGUCUAAAUCUCCCCUUUCUCAUCUUCAAGGCAAUCUCAGUGCAGUCCUUUCAAAUACAUUUCACAUACAUUUUCCACCUGGGGUUAAAGCCUGAACUAUCCAUUAAUGCGCACAUACCCUUGACCCAAUGCUCUGUUUCUGAUAUGAAACCAUAAGCACAGUGAUCAGCUGUGUCUGCUCCUAAUGUACAAAGUGUUUGAGUUGAUUAUAUGUUAAAAAAAAAACAAAACACCACCAACAACAAAACCAGCAAAUUGUUUUGAAGUGUGCACUAAUGAGACACAGAAAGUACAUCCUCAAGAACAGGUUGACACUGUACAAGAAGUGAGCAGGAUGGAGAGGGCUGGCUUCUGAGGGAGGCAACAAAUGGACUAAUGGUAUUUAUGUGUUAUUUCUUACUUUUUCCUACAGACAGAGACCGUGUGCAUUAUAGUUUUUUAGCCAUAACAAGGAGAUAAUAAAUCAAACUUGGUUUUUUUGUAGUUGGGCAUGAGCGCAUAAAGAAACUUGACCUCUGCAUUCCCCGUCCCAACUUAGGUGUUGCUGUGGCAUGUGCAUCAUCAGCACCACCCAAUGGUGCCUGCUUUUCUGUAUUUUCCUUUUUUCUGCUGCUCCCAAAAAGGCCCAGUUCACUGAACGCAUCUUGCCCACAGUGCUGGUGCCUUUUCUUCCUGAGAACAACAGCAAAGUGGUCCUGUUCUUCCAAUGGUUGGGUCCCAAUUGAGAGAUUCCAGCCUAUUUCUUGGACCAUGGUCUGCGAUGCUAUUUUGUUAUGGAGGUGGUGAUCACAUAUGCUGUCUAUGAUGCUCUUGCCUCUUGAGCUCCCUGCAGCCUCUCCAAUGAAACAACUUCUGUGACGCUUCCCUUCAUCUGUUUCCACCAUUAAUAAGAGUCUUUUCUUUCCCUGAUCUGCUGAUGAGUUAUUUCCUCUGAGGAAUUAAGAUCAAGAGCAUAGUUCAUGGAACGUGGCAGUCUGCUCUCUGUCCCGAGGAUCUGUGUGCGAGUAGUGCAUUGUCAGGAUUUAAUUGCAGCUUAUUCCUAGGCUUGCCUCAGCGGCUCUCGGGAUUUUGAUUGAAGGCGGAGGUAAGAGGGCAUCAGGAAGGCAGACAAAUGAAGUCUCUACAUGCAAAACAGAGAGAGCUCGAUAACCCUCAGAAAGCUCAAAUCCCCCUGUGUAGAGUUUCUAUUAUUUUAUUUUUUAAGGUUGUCUCAGCACUAUUGAUACUAAAUUAAUUUUUUGCACGGGUCUCAAUGUAGCUCUCCUGGAUGUCAAAAUCAUGAAACAAGAUCAAAUCAGAUUUUCAUCACUGUCAGUUUUUGGGGUUUCUUCUGCUGUUGAUCUGUUGUUUGCAUGUCUUUGUGUGUGGAGUUUUAUUGGUGGGUUUUAUUUUACUUGGCCGAUUUCUUGCUUGCUUGUCUAAUUUCAUGACUAAUCAGUGUUUUGGGCCACUGGGAUGGAAGUAACAAAGAAGGUUCUGGGCACAUCACUCCCCUGAGUUUCUUGCAAACCAUGUGAAGGAAAUCACAUAUUGAGGAACAGAUCUCCAUGAGGAAGAGGAGGCUAUACAAUGAAAGAAGCUGAUGAUCGUGGCAUGGCCACGCGAAUGUAUGUUUGCAUUUUUCACUGUUUUGCUUAGUUGCAAUGAAGCAAAAGGAAUCUCAAAGAAAAAUAGUGUAACUGAUCCUAUAAAAUAACAGGAAAUGGUGCCCUGUAGCCUAAUGAUGAUGGGAGGUGAAGCUGAGUGACAACCUAGCAGCAGCCAAUUAGGUCCACCAGCAGGUUUUCCAUUUACUUGUUUUAGGCAACCUUUAAAAGAGGAUGAGAAUGAGGAUCCUUACAGGAAUUGCUGCAGGUCGAAGCUGCAACUUGGCAUAGUGGAUGAAUGCAGCAUAAUUGAAUGCUAUCAACAAAAUUAUCAUUAAUAAAGAGAGAUUUGACACUUGGCUGAAGCAGAGUGCACAAGUAAUAACAAACUGGAGGAAUGAAAACAUAUCUGAUGUAUUGAGCAGAUUCUCCUGGAAAAUGUGAAAAAAUAGAUGAUUCUGGAGGGAAGAAAGCUGAGGCAAGGAGGAGGAACAGAAAAGUAGGUGAGGAGAGAAUUGAGGUUAUCUCAGUGGUAACCAUUAAAACGGGAUUGUUUGCCAAGACCUCCCACUGUAAGGUAGGCAAAGAGUUUUCUGGACCAGGAAAUGUUCUUAUGUUCUUCCAUACAGCAGUCCUACCAAUGAGCAGUAGCAUUAAAGAUGCAUCUAUGAGCGAUCUAAAAGUUGCUAACGUGGAAAUAUUGUGGUAUUCUAUGCUUAUUGUUUUAUCACCAUAGCAGAGAAAGAUCCCCAAUGACUAAAUUGAAAAAAGAAAAAGAAACAGUGGCUAUAUUUAGCUCUCACACAGAGAUCAAUGUGGGACAGAAUAAACCCAGCAUAUUUAGGAGAGCCCUGAGGCUUUUCCAGUCCGUGAAGGAUGCCUGAUGCACAUUUUGAAAUUCAGCAAAUAAUGUUUUUCCAUUGCUGUUAACAGUCUAAAGAUAACUCAGCUCCUCCCUAUGUUUUUCAUGAUGUUAGUCCUGAUAAGUAUGCAUUUCUUUUUAGGACUAGGACCUAAAGGACCAAUCCUUCUGCAAGUUGCCUUAUAUACAUUUUCAACCACAAUCCAAAUGGUCACAAUCCCAUCAGACCUCAUGUGCUCAUGGAGCGCUGCAGCUACUAUGUAUGGAAUCAAUCAUCCAGGAAGCAAUGCUGUAGCCAUUGAGGACUCCUUCAGACCAAGGAGAAGCUGAAGUCUGGGAGUGACCUGUCAGCAGUGAAAAGGGUUUUUUCAUAAAGUCGACAGGUAGAAGGUCCCAUCAGAAUGAUUGCUCCUUCAGAAAAAUCCAUUAAUUAACACUUGUCAUCUGUGACAGUCACAGGUAAUUCUCACACUGACAGGUCUUUGCAUGCGACAAAUGGAUUCCCGUUAUUCCUUUGACAACUGGACCAUGAAAUCUAAUUUUGCCAGGACAGUAAAUGGUAUCACUGUUUAUGCCAGCUUUUGAAAUUCAUCAAAAUGAGCAGAAUGUUCCUGCAGAUGGAGGAGGAAGAAGCUACAGUGCACGAGGAGCACGGGAUUGCUCUUCUCAGGACAAAGAGCAUCUUUCUGAUGAAUAGCAGCAAGUAAUUACAGUCAAUUGGUCUCACUGGAUGAAGUUUGAGGUCACAACAAAAAAAAAGAAAAACUAAACCCAAACCCAAUAAUUCUACAACAAUUUUACUGACUGCUUUUUAGCCACAAGGAGUUAAUAAAUUAAUGAAUGCUUAAAAAACAACAGAACACAGCAUUUCUAUCCCUCUCUACUUACUGUUGGUGCAGCCUCAUCUUGAAUAUUGUCUGUCAUUCUGGUCUUCACAACAUAAGAAAGGAUGUUAAGGUCCGUGAAAGCAUCCAGAGGAAGGCAACAAUGCUGUUUAAAGAACUGGAAGAUAUAUGCUAUCAGGAGAGGCUGAGGAUGCUUGGGUUGUCUAGCAUUUGGAUAAUGCUCUGACUGAUAUACUUUAACCUUUGGUUAGCCCUGAGAAGGUCAUGUAGUUGGAAUGGUCCUUUGCCCCUUCCAACUGAAGCAUUCCAUUCUAUUUCUUGAAGAAUUUAGUGUUCUUAAAUGGGGACAGGCAAGGAAGUUUUAUGCAGGUACUGAAUUAACAGUGAUGUAAGUAAAAAUUCAAGAAAAAUAAAUUGUAGUUUGCAAGGUCAGAUUUAUGUGUCUAAAACCAUAUAUAUAACAUACAUACAUUGCUUAGACACUACAAUUGCAAACAUCCCACCAACGACUGAGAAAAAUUCACACCCUGUUGAAGCUGAUGAAAUUUUUGUCCUUGGUUUCAGAGAAGCCAGGAUUGCCUUUCAGAAGUGUAUGCAUUUGUGCUUGACUUGGGUGAGCUUCAGGACAUUCAGGAAUAACUCUGCUCUAGUUUGUGCAGUCUUCCCAAGACUUAAUUAUCUUUGUUGUUUCAUCAGCACUGGCUUUUUCCCUCAGAUAACUUGGUCAGAUGUGUUCUGGAAUGCCUCCAAUUCUCAUUUCAAUUUUUGACAUGCAACUGAGCAUAUGCUUUUGAAUCUCUUGAAGAACAAGCAUAGCACAAGGGCUGAAAUAAGGCUCAAGCACGUGAUGGAAAUGGCACAGACAUGAGCUUCUUUGCACCGAUAACACUGCUUUUCUGUACAAGUUUAUAUUUCAAGAUGCGUGAUGUACGCAAUUGACAUUAAUAACUGUGGGAUAUUACAUGGUUAUUCUGUAAAUAGAGAUAAUAUUUACUCUAAAAGGUGAGAUCUAAUUCGUAGCAGAGCUCUCCUGAGGAUUUUUCUGAAGGACAAAUGUAGAGGCUUAUCCUAUCUAUUCAGAGGGGAGUGAAAAUGGUGCAGUAGGAUGAAAAAGUUCUUCAGAUACAAUUGUGAAGUGACUUUCUGCUGUAUGACUUCUCAGUAACUGAUUCUGUUUUCCUUCCUCACCUAUUUCUUGAUGUGCAUAUCUACACUGGUGCCUUGCAGACAGGUGUUCUGGUGCUACAUGGUACUUCAGAAAAAACUAAUGAUACAACAGUAUACUACUCCUACAAGACAGCUGAUGCUGGAUUUGAUAUAUAUUUCUACUUUAUCAGUAUACUAAUGUCAGUGCUAUCUCUCUUGCACCUACCAUCAUAGUUAUCAGCAAUUCCUGUAAUACUUGGUUUCACUAUUCCUUUCCUUGUUGAUUAUUUCUACAACUUCCAAGUUUUACCAGUGUUGACUUUAUUAUAUUCCAUAAGAUAGCAACUUUCCACUUUAUAUUUUAGAAUUUCCUGCUGCUGGGGUUGUAGCAGCAUAUGUAUCUUAUAUGUAUCAGGCAUAAGUGUACUGCUGCCUUCCUUGAUUGAUGUACUGUUAUCUCCUGUAAUUUGUUGAAUCUUGCUUACUUUCUCUCCCCCUCUGUUUUCAUGAACAGGAGAGACUGGCUACUUCUCUCCCAUAAAAAUACUUUAUGUAUCAAUCAAUGUUAUAUGUGAAUUUGGUCUUUACAUCAGUGAAGUGUAGUGUGUGAUGAUGUUCAGAGAAUGUCUAAAACAGCCUAAAAGUUUGUUCCAACCUACAGCCCAUAGAUAUCCAUUUCCCCCACUUAUAUGAUGUGUGUGUGUGGUGUGUUAUUGAUUUACAGUGCUCUAUCUGAGCAACAUAAGUGCUCAAGUUACCCCAAAGUAUUUUAGAAAGCAUUUCUCUUAAUCCAACUUUGAUUUGUGUGUGUUCACCUUAUUUUUGUACUCAUUAAUGCUGUUUUAUAUUUUUUUUUGUUUAGUUGUGAUGUUCUUUAUUUUACUAGAAAGGUGGGUAAUUUUUCUUGCCUUUAUAUGAGAGAUGUGAGUGGAUUAAAAAAAAAAUUAUGAAUAUUAAGUCAAAAAUAGAAUAUUGCGCUUGCCCCAACCUGUUUUUCAUUUUGCCAUCUGCAAGCCUUUUAAAAUAUCUGUACUGUGGGAAGAAGGCAUUCAUUUUGCAAAGGCAGUUUUUCAAUUAAGUUUCUUGAUCAAACUUAGCUAUUCAGGACUUUGCUGUCUCAGAAAAGAAAGAGACUUUAUUGAAAAUCAUAUUCUUUGGAAAUUCUAGAAAUACCUAUUACUCAUAUCAUGCAAAGGUUUUCAAUAUAUUUCUGAAAUUCACCCUAAGCCCUGACAUAUGUUUCGAGGCUUUUUUUGAGACAGUGUUGUGAUUUAUCUUAGAGGUAAAUCAACCAGGUAAGAAGAACAAAGAAAAAAGGACUUCUGUAUGUAAUCUUUUUUUACUUUCUUGCAUUUUUUUGUAGCAUUCAACCAGGCUUCCAGGUGUUCGCUGUAUCAUAUCAAAGAUGUCUAAAAAUAUAUCAAUUAAGAGAGUGCUGAAAAGCAGAAGAUAUUAGGAAUUCUCUGAUUAUUUUUCUGCAUGAUGAAGGUUUCUGAGAGAGAGCAUCUAGUUUUCUUCUAGGGCAUUUGGGGUUAAAGAUGUUUUUAAUAAACUGAGGGAGAAUGGCUAACAGUAGAAGUAAAAAUAAAUAUGUUUUAUAGAAUUAAUCAUGUCUAUCUAACAAAAUGGGAAAAAGAUGUUGGAGAGAUAUAGAAGAGCUGGAUGAAAUGGUAGGAGGAUAAAAGAGAAAAGUGUUGCUAGUAACAAGUUCUUAUACAUUGGAAGAAAUGAUUUGAAACACACAGUUACCUUUAAUAAGGUUAUCAUAUGGUUAAUAAAUUUGGAGUGGAAAAAUGGCCUGGCAGUGCUGGAUGCACAAUAAAGUAAGGAUUUUUUUGUCCAUUUUAACGCCACUUAGAAAAAUUAACAAUGUUUAGACAGCUCAUAGAAAGGAAAUAGAACCCCAUUUAUUAUAGCUUGUGAAUCAGUGGUGGACCAUUUUCAAAUCAGAAAAUAAUUAAGAAAGGUGAUACUCAUACUUUGGUGAUAUUUGUGGUAAAGAAGAAUUGAAAUUUCUCAUACUUGCUAUGUUUUAUAAUUUAGGAGUCAUGGGAGACCCAAUCUGAACAGCAGCAAGAGUAAGAUCAGUUAAAGGAUAUCUUUUGCAAUGACAGUGGGAAAUGUAACAGAUUUAGGUCAGAGGCAGAUUCAUAAUCCUACUGUCUGAAACCUACUCUUUAAAUCUAGGACAGACAGUCAUUCUCAGCAGCACGUGCAACAUCACAGAUGGUCAGUGAAAGGUUCUUUCACUUUUGCAGCCUCUGCCAUCUCUUCCAGGUCUUGUCAUGACCUCAGUCCUUGAGCAUGUUUCUUCCACCUGCGCGCCAGGUCCUUCUGGAAUCCAGUCACAGAAGAUGCUAGUUGGCUUGAUCUUCUCUAUGAGGAUAUGAGAUUAUAUGCUAUUGUGAGUGUCCCUAUUUCUUACAAGCCUUAAUGUUCAACUUCCCCUAAAAAAGAUAUAUUUUUGUUUUGAUGACAAUACAACAAUACAGUGUUUCUUCAGCUGCAACAGAAGCUCCUGUUCUUUCAUCCUGUGAUGGCAAUACAUAUUGAGGUAAAAUUGCUCCUCCGGUGAGCUGGUGAAAAUAAAAAGAGGUAAAGAGAUGUUGAGAUUUCUGAGAACUUACUAACAGCUGCUGGGGUGAGUUUUUCCUUAUGAUCUUGAUCACCAGAUCCUUAGACUUAAUAAGAAUCAUGGCUCAUGAGUAUUUCUUGAUUCUUGAUUUCUAGUAUUUCUUGACUACUUUCUAGUAUUUCACAACUGUAAUUUCUCAUACUGCAUUUAUUAUUUUUUUUUAAGUCAUGUAUUGAAUUGUUGGAGUGAACAUGGCUAUUUGAGAUCAGCCCUUGAAAGAAAUCGGGUUUAAAUUCCACGUGAAGAAUGUUUUCCUGGUGUCAUGCAACUUGAGAUCAUCUAAUAUGUUCAGCUGCUAUUUUUAGACCCUUCUCAAAUACUUUACAUCCUUGAACAUCCAAAGAGAUUUGUUAAGCAAAUAGACAAAAUACCAGUAUAUACUUUAUGAAUGCAAAGUAGAAAGAUCCUUCAAACCAAAGAGUUAAUCUGUCAUUAUUAGAACAAACUACAUUUUAUAUGCUUGGGAUAGCAUUUUCAUCCACAGCUCUUGAUCAUUACUUACCACUGCUAUUAAUUUUGACUGGUUUGAGUGGACAUUCUGUAGUUUUGGAAAAAGCUCUGCAUGGCUUCAUACACUUCCUAGCGCCAUUCCUAAAGGGCCAAAAUAUAUGUAUUUUUACUUUUUUUUACUUUUAAAAAAAUUACUUUUUAAAAAAUUAUUAUUGUUGCAGAAUUAACUUCCUUUAGAACUAUGUAAAAAGAAACAGCUGCACGUUGAAUCUGCUGCUGUUGCUUACUUUCCCCUUUGCCUCAUAUCAUACCAUCUUUUACCAAUCAAAUUUAAACGUCUUUAUGUUAAUCUGUUAUUUUACAUCAAAAUAUUCGUAGUAUUGGUCUACAUUCUGGCAGAUCGCUUUAGAAUGUGAGUCAGCAGGUAGGGUUAUGAGUAUGGAUAUGGAACCAGGGAAUGCGGAUCACGUUGUUUUAUCAAAUCUAAGUCUUCAUAAUUGAUGCCUUUAAGAGAAAUAAUGAAACAGUUAAUCAACUUUUACAGCCCCUUGACCAUCCUAACUUUCAGAGGUGCCUGAAUACAUGUAAUAUAAAGAGCUGAUACUCUUUCCCCUUGGGUUAUCUUUCAAAAGGCAUUUGUCUGAUUUGUUUCAUUGAGUCUUUACCCCAUUCAAAGACAUCCUGUGUUUCAGGAAGACUGUAAAAUCGUAGAAUAAAUUUUAUUCUAGUAUAUCUUGCC
ensembl:lncRNA